rnacentral:rRNA from 1 species
UGGGGAAUUUUGGACAAUGGGCGCAAGCCUGAUCCAGCCAUGCCGCGUGUCUGAAGAAGGCCUUCGGGUUGUAAAGGACUUUUGUCCGGGAGCAAAUACCCAGUGCUAAUAACGCUGGGGGCUGAGAGUACCGGAAGAAUAAGCACCGGCUAACUACGUGCCAGCAGCCGCGGUAAUACGUAGGGUGCAAGCGUUAAUCGGAAUUACUGGGCGUAAAGCGUGCGCAGGCGGUCUUGUAAGCCAGAUGUGAAAGCCCCGGGCUCAACCUGGGAACUGCGUUUGGAACUACAAGACUAGAGUGUGUCAGAGGGGGGUGGAAUUCCGCGUGUAGCAGUGAAAUGCGUAGAGAUGCGGAGGAACACCGAUGGCGAAGGCAGCCCCCUGGGAUAACACUGACGCUCAUGCACGAAAGCGUGGGGAGCAAACA